rnacentral:SRP_RNA from 1 species
GCCAGGUGUGGUGGCUCACACCUGUCGUCCCAGCUACUCGGGAGGCUGAGGUGGGAGGAUUGUUUGAGCCCAGGAGUUCAGGGCUGCAGUGAACUAUGAUUGUGCCACUGUACUCCAGCCUGGCUAACAGAACAAGACACUGUCUCUA